UUUUCAUCCGGCAUAACUAAA
rnacentral:piRNA from 1 species